rnacentral:rRNA from 1 species
UACAGAGGUCUCAACCGUUGUUCGGAUUCAUUGGGCGUAAAGGGUGCGUAGGCGGCGGGGUAAGUCAGGUGUGAAAUCUCGGGGCUCAACCCCGAAACUGCACUUGAUACUGCCUCGCUUGAGUACUGGAGAGGAGACUGGAAUUUACGGUGUAGCAGUGAAAUGCGUAGAUAUCGUAAGGAAGACCAGUGGCGAAGGCGGGUCUCUGGACAGUUCCUGACACUGAGACACGAAGGCCAGGGGAGCAAACGGG